rnacentral:rRNA from 1 species
GACAGAGGGGGCAAGCGUUGCUCGGAAUUACUGGGCGUAAAGGGCGCGUAGGCGGGAUGGCAAGUCGGUCGUGAAAUCCCUCGGCUCAACCGAGGAACGUCGAUCGAUACUGCUGUUCUUGAGGAUUGCAGAGGAGACUGGAAUUCCCGGUGUAGCGGUGAAAUGUGUAGAGAUCGGGAGGAACACCGGUGGCGAAGGCGGUUCUCUGGGCAUUACCUGACGCUGAGGAGCGAAAGUGUGGGGAGCGAACAGG